rnacentral:rRNA from 1 species
CCUACGGGAGGCUGCAGUGAGGAAUAUUGGUCAAUGGGCGGAAGCCUGAACCAGCCAAGUCGCGUGCAGGAUGACGGCCCUACGGGUUGUAAACUGCUUUUAUACGGGAAUAACGCGCCUUACGUGUACGGCUUUGCAUGUACCGUAUGAAUAAGCACCGGCUAAUUCCGUGCCAGCAGUCGCGGUAAUACUGAAGGUCCGGGCGUUGUCCGGAUUUAUUGGGUUUAAAGGGUGCGUAGGCCGCAUGUCAAGCGUGCUGUGAAAUGUCCGGGCUCAACCCGGGCCGUGCAGCGCGAACUGGCGUGCUUGAGUCGGCGGGAGGCAGGCGGAAUUCGUAGGGUAGCGGUGAAAUGCUUAGAUAUGACGAAGAACCCCGAUUGCGAAGGCAGCUUGCUGGAGCGGAACUGACGCUGAUGCUCGAAAGCGCGGGUAUCGAACAGGAUUAGAUACCCGUGUAGUC